AUUGAACGCUGGCGGCAGGCCUAACACAUGCAAGUCGAGCGGAUGAAGGGAGCUUGCUCCUGGAUUCAGCGGCGGACGGGUGAGUAAUGCCUAGGAAUCUGCCUGGUAGUGGGGGAUAACGUCCGGAAACGGGCGCUAAUACCGCAUACGUCCUGAGGGAGAAAGUGGGGGAUCUUCGGACCUCACGCUAUCAGAUGAGCCUAGGUCGGAUUAGCUAGUUGGUGGGGUAAAGGCCUACCAAGGCGACGAUCCGUAACUGGUCUGAGAGGAUGAUCAGCCACACUGGGACUGGGAGCCGGCCCAGACUCCUACGGGAGGCAGCAGUGGGGAAUAGUGGAGAAGGGGGGGAAGUAUGAUCGAGCAAUGCCGUGUGGGUGAUGAAGUCCUUAGGGUUGUAAAGCUCUUUUACCCGGGAUGAUAAUGACAGUACCGGGAGAAUAAGCUCCGGCUAACUCCGUG
rnacentral:rRNA from 1 species